rnacentral:tRNA from 1 species
GUUGUGGCUCAGUGGCAGAGCACUUGCCUCACACACUUGAGGAACUGGGUUCGAUCCUCAGCACAACA